rnacentral:rRNA from 1 species
CCUACGGGCGGCAGCAGUGGGGAAUAUUGGACAAUGGGGGGAACCCUGAUCCAGCCAUGCCGCGUGUGUGAAGAAGGCCCUCGGGUUGUAAAGCACUUUCAGUGAGGAAGAACGCCUGGUGGUUAAUACCCUUCAGGAAAGACAUCACUCACAGAAGAAGCACCGGCUAACUCCGUGCCAGCAGCCGCGGUAAUACGGAGGGUGCGAGCGUUAAUCGGAAUUACUGGGCGUAAAGCGCGCGUAGGUGGCUUGAUAAGCCGGUUGUGAAAGCCCCGGGCUCAACCUGGGAACGGCAUCCGGAACUGUCAAGCUAGAGUGCAGGAGAGGAAGGUAGAAUUCCCGGUGUAGCGGUGAAAUGCGUAGAGAUCGGGAGGAAUACCAGUGGCGAAGGCGGCCUUCUGGACUGACACUGACACUGAGGUGCGAAAGCGUGGGUAGCAAACAGGAUUAGAUACCCCUGUAGUC